GUUGAAGGCUAUCCUGAAAGUGUGUUGCUGGAGUGAUAUAUCUUGCAGGGAGUGUUAAUCAGCAUUGCAUGGACAUUGAUUCCUGCUUUAAUGGACUUUUGUUGAUGUGAUCAUGUGGAAGGGUUUCUGGUGAGAUGGAUGGUGUGAAAAAGGUUUGAUUGGCAAUUUAAUGCGAGUUUAAGGUAAACACAUUCAUCAUAACGAGGAGGUGAUUUGUUUGCAAGUUAUUCAUUGCCUUGUCAUCUUUGUACCCGAUUGUUAUUAUCUAUAUUUCUCUCUCUAUAUACGGAUAGAUAUGAUAAAAAAAAUUGUUUGCAUAUAGAAAUAUGAGUUAUAACAUUAUUUAUUUCUUCCUUACAAUUAUCUUGAUAAACCUUGUAGCUCACAUGGGCUAUUUUCUUGGGCCACCAAUGAAAUCUAGCCUGUGUCUUUUCUACCUGAAGAGAAUGAUAUUAAUGCCAUACCUGGUUUUGACCCAGCUCAGCUGCUCAGGUACACAAUGUAGAAAAUCUUAUUACCCAUUACUUGAGAGAAAUGCUAUACAUGAAGCAAUGUUUGUUAAAUUUUUUGGUUUAUCCCUAUAUGUAGCCAUUUCAGAAUACAAGUUCCAACCUUUGGCAUUCUUUUAGAUCUUCAUGCCUAUAUCUGUGACAUCCAAUUUCAUGUCUUAGUAGCAGGAUCAUAUUGAUCUUAUAUGUAUAUUUCUGUAUGCACAUAUCUCAAGAUUCUCAUCAUAGUACAAGCAUGUUUGCAGAGAGUUGAAAUGCACAUGGUAGAUUGCAGGAGAAAUUGAGGUAUGCUUUAGAUUUUUCCUUUAUAUUUGCUCCUUAAUUGCAAUUUACUCGAGGGGGUGCUCCUGGACCAGUGAAUAUCGCUUAUUCUGGUGUUUAUCAGUGGUGGUAUACAAUCGGUUUACGCACUAAUGAAGAUCUUUAUACUGGAGCUCUUUUUCUAUUAUUUCUUUCUGCUAUAUCUUUAAUAGCGGGUUGGUUACACCUACAACCGAAAUGGAAACCGAGCGUUUCGUGGUUCAAAAAUGCCGAAUCUCGUCUCAAUCAUCAUUUGUCAGGACUCUUCGGAGUAAGUUCAUUGGCUUGGACCGGACAUUUAAUCCAUUUCGCUACUGCCAUCUCAUUGAGUUUUAUUUGAGCCCCUGCUAUUUUGUUAGUUUGUUUUGUGCUGUGUUUGAGCAUGGUUGCUCUCUUCAUGAUCUUAUUCUUUUUUGGUUGACAUGGAUAAAUAAAUUUGCCAUCAAAAUACUAACAUCCAUUUAUGUAUUAAUGUAACUCUGCCACUGUUUAGAUUUUUGGGUAACUUAUGUGCACGACUUCCCAUGUAUGUGUCAAAAUGCAAAGUUAGUGUCCAUGUAGACAGGUUAUAGUUGGUUUGUGUUUAUUUGAGAUAUUUACAAGAGUCUUCUAUUGGACUGCUGGCUUCAUGUAGCUGUUAAUCUACAGCCUUGUGGUGAGGAUCUUUAUGCAUGUCAAGUCUGGAUGCAGCUGCAGGCUAUCGAUCUUGUAAUGUUUCUUCAAACACGUUGGGAGAGUGAUUGAGGGAAAAAAAAGAGUGGCAGAUAGGCAGAGAGGGUGUUCAUUCUCCACUAGCCAGACUGUGUUCCAGUUUAGCCUGCAGUGCACAAAGCAUAGACCAUAUUAUGGACUGAAUCAUUCCAUUACUCGAGUGAAAUCUAUAUGUUGCAAAUUGUGCAGGUUGAAGAGGUUUGGAGGCCAAACUUGAGUUCCAAACUCAACUUCAGAGAGACCAGGAUCCUGUUUCUGGCCAAAGCCAAAUAUGAUGAAGUCAAUAUUGUGGGCUGAAGAAUGGUUAAGGUAGGUGACAUUGGUCGAGUUUGGCAUAUAGCACUCAUCAAGCUAGCCACCCCACUUUUUCAAAUCAGUUAUGAAAGUCCUAGUCGUCUAUGAACAUCUAUCUUCCCAUAUGAUUGACAAUGAUUUUCUCAUGUUUCCAUUUGAUUAAUUUUAAAACUAUUUUUCAUUUUC